ensembl:snoRNA small nucleolar RNA U6-53/MBII-28
CUCCUGUGAUGAAUCAAGCCAUGCUAAUACUGAUGCAGUUGGCAGGCCAGUGUGACUGCCUGCUGUAAGUGAGUUCAACUGAACUUCUCACGCUGAUGGUUUCAGUGUGGGCUGAGGAGA